GCCUCAUGGUCGAGUGGUGAGGACACUUGCGUCUCACUCUAGAGUUCCCGGUUCAAUCCCAGGUCGAGGAGCU